GAUGAACGCUGGCGGCGUGCCUAAUACAUGCCAGUCGAGCGAACAGACGAGGAGCUUGCUCCUCUGACGUUAGCGGCGGACGGGUGAGUAACACGUGGAUAACCUACCUAUAAGACUGGGAUAACUUCGGGAAACCGGAGCUAAUACCGGAUAAUAUAUUGAACCGCAUGGUUCAAUAGUGAAAGACGGUUUUGCUGUCACUUAUAGAUGGAUCCGCGCCGCAUUAGCUAGUUGGUAAGGUAACGGCUUACCAAGGCAACGAUGCGUAGCCGACCUGAGAGGGGGAGCGGCCACACGGGAACUGAGACACGGUCCAGACUCCUAAGGGAGGCAGCAGUAGGGAAUCUUCCGAAAUGGGCGAAAGCCUGACGGAGCAACGCCGCGGGAGUGAUGAAGGUCUUCGGAUCGUAAAACUCUGUUAUGAGGGAAGAACAAAUGUGUAAGUAACUAUGCACGUCUUGACGGUACCUAAUCAGAAAGACACGGCUAACUACGUG
rnacentral:rRNA from 1 species